CAGCAGCCGCGGUAAUACGAAGGUGGCAAGCGUUGUUCGGAUUUACUGGGCGUAAAGGGAGCGUAGGUGGUUAGGUAAGCCCUCCGGGAAAUCUUCAGGCUUAACCUGAAAAGGUCGGGGGGGACUGCCUGGCUAGAGGACGGGAGAGGAGCGCGGAAUUCCCGGUGUAGCGGUGAAAUGCGUAGAGAUCGGGAGGAAGGCCGGUGGCGAAGGCGGCGCUCUGGAACGUUUCUGACACUGAGGCUCGAAAGCGUGGGGAGCAAACAGG
rnacentral:rRNA from 1 species